AGUACAGGGAAUUGUUGCCAUUACUUGGUAAUAACUUUUAAUGGAAUAUAAUCUGUAAAAAUACUGAAUCCCUAAACUGUACUCCAGAAACUGAUACAAUAUUAUAAAUCAACUAUACUUCAAUUAAAAAACACAUUGUCCUUCCAGAAACACCACUGUUUACUGUGUUACUGGUAAAUUCCUCUACCCCCAGCCCCAGCCCCACCCACAGACUACUGCUGAGUCUUUCCCCUCACUAUCACCAUGCUUAAGGGUCAAGGUCUCCACUUUUCCUAGUGUUGGACCAUUGAUGAAGGGGAGGUCAAUGGGCUGGGCAAUUUCUUAGGUCACCAGAGGGUCAUCUGGGGUGAUGUACGGGCACAUGACAUGGGAGGCUCCUGCCCAGCUGUGGAGAGAAAAACCAGUGAGGAAGAGGGAUGAGUGCUGUUGACAGGAGCUGGUCAGGCCCCCAGGCCUCCUGGUACUGCGCGUCUUCAUUUUAGCAUUAACUCUCUGAUAUGCCUUGAGUGGAAAGAAACAUUCUGAAAAAUAACCUUUCCUGACUCUCAGAUUUCCAGUCAUAACAACUCUUAAUUCUUCUGCAGGCAAAGUAGAUGCUUCUGCCUACUAGAGGAAAGGUCAGGAAAGGCUGAACAGAAAGAAAAACACAACGAUUCAUAUUUCAAGAUCUUAUCUUCCACCUUUGCAAUGAAAGCCGUCUCUUAACUGUUGUGGAGUUGUUGGAAAUGAAAGGAACAUGGAGCCAAAUUACCAAGAGAAUCUACUGCCCAGUUUCUUCAAGUCACUCGGAGUCAAAGAACAGAUUAGAGAAUUCAGUUCAUGGAGGUUUAUUGGCCCCUCCAUCUGCUGUUCACUGUGAUGGGAGCGUCUGAUGGUUGCUGCCGUUUUUUAUAAUGGGACAUCCAGCAAGAGUCUGCACGAGAGUAUGUAUACAAUUAGCCAGACCUCUGCAGAGGGACAGGUAAAUGCCACAAAACUUUCAUUUUCACUUUGUGCUCCUCAAAGUAACAAGCUCUGUCUGCUUUAUUCCUGCUGUUUGGAAGGGUUCUGGCCCCUCUGGGCCUGCCAUGUACAGGGGCCAUGUGGGGUUGGCACCUGAGACCGAACAGAGACACAGUGGAAAGAAAGCCCCGUGUUGGCAGAAAGGGAGGUGUUUUCAUUGCCCGUCACAUCCCUCUUCUGUCUCCUCUCUGUCUCUUUGCACUUGUGGGUGCCCUAAAUGAGACCGAAGCCUCUAUAUGUUAUCUGUCCAAAGGGAGGCAAGAGCCACAAAAAGGACCUGAAGGCUCAAAGGGAAUUUUUCUGCAGAGGUAGCAGUAAUUAGAAAGAAGGAAGUUUUUGAAACGGGUCAGUUCCUUAAGGACUUCUCUUGGCAGUUUGCCUAGAAACUAGUGUUUCCUGCCCCACAUCCUGCAGUAGUUCCUCCUGGGAAGUAGAAAUGGAACAAUGGGACACAGAGAGAUACUGAUGAUCAACACAGCUGUUGUGGCGAUUGGAGCCUGGGGUCGAGGCUUCAUAAUCACUGAGGGCAUCUACUCGGCAGUUGUUGAGGCGAGUUCGAGAUCUUACUAGGACCAGAAGACCUUACGGGGCAGAUGCCAAAGAAAAUUGCUACCUUGAGAAGUGGAUACAAAGAGGAUCACAGUGAGGAACACAGACCAGCACACUUAGGGAUAUAGCCCCUUAUUGGGUUAGGUCUGCACAGGAUAAACUGAGCCAAGUGAAUCUAAAUGAAAGAUACCAAGCCCCAAAUAUAUAAAAUUAGAACAAAGAAAGUUAUUGAUUUUCCUAACGAACCAGAGAUGUUUCUCCACCCUAGCCAUAUAAAUCAGUAAGGAUGAUGCAAGUACAAAAACUGAGAGACAGCAAAUUAUAGCAGCAACACCAGUAGUGCCCAAACCAGGAAAGACUCAAAGUACUCAAAGUAAUGCAGGGUUAAUGUGAGAAAAUCCAUUCGGCACUAUUUUUCUGGGGGCAGGGUGGGUGUGUGUGUCCCAAGGAGCAGCUGAAACCAAAAGACCGACCAUGUUGCAGGUGGUAUCAGUCCUUAGGUGACAGUAACUCCAGUGUUCUACAUGUGUGGUUGUUUUGUCUCUUACAACUGUGCCAAAUAUAUUGUCUCACUUCUUCCUGUUUCAGAGCCCUCUGUGAGCAGCCCUUGGAGAGCAGCAUUACUUCCAAGCAGGGAAUGGUUUCAGAGCCAUUCUCCUCACAGGACUCAGAGUGAUCGGGGUGGUGUGGGAGCAGGGGAAUCCCUUUGCAGUCUCUGCAGUGUUUUUGGUCUCAAUGUAUUGUUUGCAGAGUGACAAAUAAGAAAGCUCUGUUCAGGGUUGUCAAAAUAGAAACUCCUGAAUUGUGUGUCAGGUCACUAGGUUCCUGGACAAAGUUUGGCAGCACCCCACCACUAAAUAAAGUUAUAGCUGAUAACCAAUUGACCAAUGAAAAUUUGGUUCCUGCAGCCAUGUUACCCAGGAUUACAAAAAUGGUAGCUAAAUAGAGAUUACCCUGGCAAGAGUGAGUAGACAUCACCUUGUAGUGUGUGUGUGUGUGUGUGUGUGUGUAUGAGAGUGCAACUCUCACUGUAGGAGAUAGAAAGAUUUUUUUCCAGUUCAUUGCAACCCUAAUUCCUACUCUCUUUGGUUUAUACCAUUUCUCCUUGAAACUGGCUCCUUUUUGCUUUGGAGGAUAGAAUUGAAUCCGGUGCCAGCCCAGCCAUGGCUGACUCUGGUUCCAGGACCCAUGAGCUUCAUCUGGAUCCUCAGUGGUAGUAGAUGUGUGCAUGAGUCCUUGCAUCUAAGUAUUUGGGGAGCCGGGCAAACUUCUGUCUCAAGUUAUUGCUGUGACAAGAGUGACAAGAGCAGAUAUACUCACAGAAGCUUGUGUUUGCAAAUGUACACCAAUGGCUGUAUUCUACAAGGUCUUAAAAUGGGAUUUUUUUUUAACCUAAUGGAAGAUUCUUCACCUCUUUCUUGCCCAGUUUGCUCUGAUGUUUCUCUCUCUUUUUUCUCUUAACAGACCUUAAUAUGGCUCUGAAAGCUAUCUUAUUUCUUGGAAGGCUUUAGGGUAUUUUUUUCUUUAUUAAAUUUAAAAGUUUGAAAGUCAUGGCUUAUUAUUUAGUAGGCCUUAAUAUAUAUGCAUUUUCCCCUUCUCCUAUGAGUCAAUAAAGACCACAACCUCUGGCUAACUUGAUAGAAAAUUUUCCAAACUGUGUACUAGGAAGGCUGAUUAGUUGAUUUGGUUUGUUUUGUUUUCAGUUUCUUAGUGCCUUCACCUUUUCAGUCUAGGAAAUUGAAAUACUAACUCUCACAGAAAUUCAAGCAAGUGUUCAAAGUGCAGUCCAUGAAUUAUUUAUUUUCAUGCCCCAGACUUCAUUCUCAUUAGCCAUAUCCCUGCACACUCAAGACAGUAAUUGAGGUAGGGAUUCAAUUCCUGAGCAAGAAAGAGCACUUCAGCAAGUUGGACAAGGGAGGGCUAUUCCAUCUAUACAGAUGUCUUCUGGGUUAACUACCAUUUAAAAAGCAUCCACUCUGUGUCAGACAUCACACUCAGUGAAAGGAGGGUGUGUUUUUAAUUCUUGUAACAGCUUCCUAAGAAUAGAUAUUGUUUCCCCAAUUUUAUAGGUGCAAAAAUUAAGACUCUGAGAAGUUCAUUAACUUACUAAAGUUCAGACAGCUAGCAAAUGGCUAGGAAGAAUGUUCCCAGAAUCCCUUUCUUAUAUUUAUUCAAGUUUAAGUGUUGAUCUAUGAAUCUGAUUAACGAUGUUUACUUUUCUUCCAGUUUACAAAGCACUCUCACAUAAUCACUUCUCAACAAGCCCAUGAGUAGGUCACUGUAGUCCCAAUCCAUGAUGAAGAAACUGAGGCCCAAAUGAGUGAAAAUAUGAAAACAAGGUAAUCCCAGGGACAUUGCAAAUGCAAUCUAGCUAAAGAUCAAUUUUCUAUUUUUCAGAAGGGACAGCUAACUGAGCAGGCUUCUUUCCAGAGAAUUCUUACUUUUCAGGUAUGCACAAAAUAAAAUUAAGCUUCAUAAUCCUUUCAACCUGUGGGCCCUUCCUUCGACCAGUGAGAAGGAAGGAGAGGGUCUCAGGCCAGAGGCAAGCCAGAAUUAUUGUAUUUACCAAAGUGUGUGUGUGUGUGUACACAUGUGUAGAGGUUAUCCGGGCAGCCCAUGGGUGCCUGAGGAGGGCUGAGGUCUCCCUUAUCCCAUUAGGGCAGGAAAGGCAAUUCUACCCAUGGGUUAUAGCCAGGACCAGAGGGUGCAUCUUGCUGUCUCUGACUCUGUGCUGGAGAAAGGCCCCAAAUCCUUUUACAGGGCCAGCUUGGACUUUGCCAAGAACUGCCAGGCAUUUAAGAUACAGCCCUUACUAACUAACACACAUUACCUACUGAACCCUUCCACUCAUAUCCCCCAAAGCCUUUACACUUGUUCCAUUCAAACAUGGUGCUGUGCCAACCAGCAAACUCUGCAUUGCAUUAAAAUUG